rnacentral:rRNA from 1 species
ACAGGGUGACAGCCCCGUACACAAAAAUGCACAUGCUGUGAGCUCGAUGAGUAGGGCGGGACACGUGGUAUCCUGUCUGAAUAUGGGGGGACCAUCCUCCAAGGCUAAAUACUCCUGACUGACCGAUAGUGAACCAGUACCGUGAGGGAAAGGCGAAAAGAACCCCGGCGAGGGGAGUGAAAAAGAACCUGAAACCGUGUACGUACAAGCAGUGGGAGCCUCUUAAUGGGGUGACUGCGUACCUUUUGUAUAAUGGGUCAGCGACUUAUAUUCUGUAGCAAGGUUAACCGAAUAGGGGAGCCGAAGGGAAACCGAGUCUUAACUGGGCGUUAAGUUGCAGGGUAUAGACCCGAAACCCGGUGAUCUAGCCAUGGGCAGGUUGAAGGUUGGGUAACACUAACUGGAGGACCGAACCGACUAAUGUUGAAAAAUUAGCGGAUGACUUGUGGCUGGGGGUGAAAGGCCAAUCAAACCGGGAGAUAGCUGGUUCUCCCCGAAAGCUAUUUAGGUAGCGCCUCGUGAAUUCAUCUCCGGGGGUAGAGCACUGUUUCGGCAAGGGGGUCAUCCCGACUUACCAACCCGAUGCAAACUGCGAAUACCGGAGAAUGUUAUCACGGGAGACACACGGCGGGUGCUAACGUCCGUCGUGAAGAGGGAAACAACCCAGACCGCCAGCUAAGGUCCCAAAGUCAUGGUUAAGUGGGAAACGAUGUGGGAAGGCCCAGACAGCCAGGAUGUUGGCUUAGAAGCAGCCAUCAUUUAAAGAAAGCGUAAUAGCUCACUGGUCGAGUCGGCCUGCGCGGAAGAUGUAACGGGGCUAAACCAUGCACCGAAGCUGCGGCAGCGACACUAUGUGUUGUUGGGUAGGGGAGCGUUCUGUAAGCCUGUGAAGGUGGCCUGUGAGGGUUGCUGGAGGUAUCAGAAGUGCGAAUGCUGACAUAAGUAACGAUAAAGCGGGUGAAAAGCCCGCUCGCCGGAAGACCAAGGGUUCCUGUCCAACGUUAAUCGGGGCAGGGUGAGUCGACCCCUAAGGCGAGGCCGAAAGGCGUAGUCGAUGGGAAACAGGUUAAUAUUCCUGUACUUGGUGUUACUGCGAAGGGGGGACGGAGAAGGCUAUGUUGGCCGGGCGACGGUUGUCCCGGUUUAAGCGUGUAGGCUGGUUUUCCAGGCAAAUCCGGAAAACCAAGGCUGAGGCGUGAUGACGAGGCACUACGGUGCUGAAGUGACAAAUGCCCUGCUUCCAGGAAAAGCCUCUAAGCAUCAGGUAACAUCAAAUCGUACCCCAAACCGACACAGGUGGUCAGGUAGAGAAUACCAAGGCGCUUGAGAGAACUCGGGUGAAGGAACUAGGCAAAAUGGUGCCGUAACUUCGGGAGAAGGCACGCUGAUAUGUAGGUGAAGCGACUUGCUCGUGGAGCUGAAAUCAGUCGAAGAUACCAGCUGGCUGCAACUGUUUAUUAAAAACACAGCACUGUGCAAACACGAAAGUGGACGUAUACGGUGUGACGCCUGCCCGGUGCCGGAAGGUUAAUUGAUGGGGUUAGCGGUAACGCGAAGCUCUUGAUCGAAGCCCCGGUAAACGGCGGCCGUAACUAUAACGGUCCUAAGGUAGCGAAAUUCCUUGUCGGGUAAGUUCCGACCUGCACGAAUGGCGUAAUGAUGGCCAGGCUGUCUCCACCCGAGACUCAGUGAAAUUGAACUCGCUGUGAAGAUGCAGUGUACCCGCGGCAAGACGGAAAGACCCCGUGAACCUUUACUAUAGCUUGACACUGAACAUUGAGCCUUGAUGUGUAGGAUAGGUGGGAGGCUUUGAAGUGUGGACGCCAGUCUGCAUGGAGCCGACCUUGAAAUACCACCCUUUAAUGUUUGAUGUUCUAACGUUGGCCCCUAAUCGGGGUUGCGGACAGUGUCUGGUGGGUAGUUUGACUGGGGCGGUCUCCUCCUAAAGAGUAACGGAGGAGCACGAAGGUUGGCUAAUCCUGGUCGGACAUCAGGAGGUUAGUGCAAUGGCAUAAGCCAGCUUGACUGCGAGCGUGACGGCGCGAGCAGGUGCGAAAGCAGGUCAUAGUGAUCCGGUGGUUCUGAAUGGAAGGGCCAUCGCUCAACGGAUAAAAGGUACUCCGGGGAUAACAGGCUGAUACCGCCCAAGAGUUCAUAUCGACGGCGGUGUUUGGCACCUCGAUGUCGGCUCAUCACAUCCUGGGGCUGAAGUAGGUCCCAAGGGUAUGGCUGUUCGCCAUUUAAAGUGGUACGCGAGCUGGGUUUAGAACGUCGUGAGACAGUUCGGUCCCUAUCUGCCGUGGGCGCUGGAGAACUGAGGGGGGCUGCUCCUAGUACGAGAGGACCGGAGUGGACGCAUCACUGGUGUUCGGGUUGUCAUGCCAAUGGCACUGCCCGGUAGCUAAAUGCGGAAGAGAUAAGUGCUGAAAGCAUCUAAGCACGAAACUUGCCCCGAGAUGAGUUCUCCCUGAGACUUAGAGUCUCCUGAAGGAACGUUGAAGACGACGACGUUGAUAGGCCGGGUGUGUAAGCGCAGCGAUGCGUUGAGCUAACCGGUACUAAUGAACCGUGAGGCUUAACCUU